CAGUAGCCGCGGGAAUACGUAGGUGGCAAGCGUUGUCCGGAAUUAUUGGGCGUAAAGGGCUCGCAGGCGGUUUCUUAAGUCUGAUGUGAAAGCCCCCGGCUCAACCGGGGAGGGUCAUUGGAAACUGGGAAACUUGAGUGCAGAAGAGGAGAGUGGAAUUCCACGUGUAGCGGUGAAAUGCGUAGAGAUGUGGAGGAACACCAGUGGCGAAGGCGACUCUCUGGUCUGUAACUGACGCUGAGGAGCGAAAGCGUGGGGAGCGAACAGGAUUAGAUAUCCGCGUAGUCCCUGUCUCUUAUAC
rnacentral:rRNA from 1 species